rnacentral:rRNA from 1 species
AUUGAACGCUGGCGGCAUGCCUUACACAUGCAAGUCGAACGGUAACAGGUCUUCGGAUGCUGACGAGUGGCGAACGGGUGAGUAAUACAUCGGAACGUGCCUAGUAGUGGGGGAUAACUACUCGAAAGAGUGGCUAAUACCGCAUGAGAUCUACGGAUGAAAGCAGGGGAUCGCAAGACCUUGCGCUACUAGAGCGGCCGAUGGCAGAUUAGGUAGUUGGUGGGACAAAAGCUUACCAAGCCGACGAUCUGUAGCUGGUCUGAGAGGACGAUCAGCCACACUGGGACUGAGAAACGGCCCAGACUCCUACGGGAGGCAGUAGUGGGGAAUUUUGGACAAUGGGCGCAAGCCUGAUCCAGCAAUGCCGCGUGCAGGAUGAAGGCCUUCGGGUUGUAAACUGCUUUUGUACGGAACGAAAAGCCCCGGGUUAAUACCCUGGGGUCAUGACGGUACCGUAAGAAUAAGCACCGGCUAACUACGUGCCAGCCGCCGCAGUAA